AUUUGGGCACUGUCUCAACGAGAGACUCGGUGAAAUUUUAGUACCUGUGAAGAUGCAGGUUACCCGCGACAGGACGGAAAGACCCCAUGGAGCUUUACUGUAGUUUGAUAUUGAGUGUCUGUACCGCAUGUACAGGAUAGGUAGGAGCCGUAGAAAUCGGAACGCUAGUUUCGAUGGAGGCGCUGGUGGGAUACUACCCCUGCGUUAUGGCCACUCUAACCCGCACCACUAAUCGUGGUGGGAGACAGUGUCAGAUGGGCAGUUUGACUGGGGCGGUCGCCUCCUAAAAGGUAACGGAGGCGCCCAAAGGUUCCCUCAGAAUGGUUGGAAAUCAUUCGAAGAGUGUAAAGGCAGAAGGGAGCUUGACUGCGAGACCAACAAGUCGAGCAGGGACGAAAGUCGGGCUUAGUGAUCCGGUGGUUCCGCAUGGAAGGGCCAUCGCUCAACGGAUAAAAGCUACCCUGGGGAUAACAGGCUUAUCUCCCCCAAGAGUCCACAUCGACGGGGAGGUUUGGCACCUCGAUGUCGGC
rnacentral:rRNA from 1 species